GGGGAUUUGGCUCAGUGGUAGAGCGCUUGCCUAGGAAGCGCAAGGUCCUGGGUUCAGUACCCAGCCCCG
rnacentral:tRNA from 1 species